GUGGGUGUAGCUCAGACGGUAGAGCGCCAGACUGUGGAUCUGGGUGCCGUGGGUUCAAAUCCCAUCACCCACC
rnacentral:tRNA from 1 species